rnacentral:rRNA from 1 species
CUACGUGCCAGCAGCCGCGGUAAUACGUAGGGUGCGAGCGUUAAUCGGAAUUACUGGGCGUAAAGCGAGCGCAGACGGUUACUUAAGCAGGAUGUGAAAUCCCCGGGCUUAACCUGGGAACUGCGCUCUGAACUGGGUAGCUAGAGUAUGUCAGAGGGGGGUAGAAUUCCACGUGUAGCAGUGAAAUGCGUAGAGAUGUGGAGGAAUACCGAUGGCGAAGGCAGCCCCCUGGGAUAAUACCGACGUUCAUGCUCGAAAGCGUGGGUAGCAAACAGGAUUAGAUACCCUGGUAGUCCACGCCCUAAACGAUGUCGAUUAGCUGUUGGGCAACUUGAUUGCUUAGUAGCGUAGCUAACGCGUGAAAUCGACCGCCUGGGGAGUACGGUCGCAAGAUUAAAACUCAAAGGAAUUGACGGGGACCCGCACAAGCGGUGGAUCAUGUUCUUUAAUUCGAUGAUAACCGAUAAACCUUACCAGGUCUUGACAUCC